rnacentral:snRNA from 1 species
AUCACUUCUCGGCCUUUUGGCUAAGAUCAAAGUAUCAGCCUAAUCUCUGGCACGGUCUCCAUAGGGGGUAGAUUAAACUGAUUUUUGGAAAAUGACGGAGUGCUAGGGGCUUGCUCCACCUCUGUCGCGGGUUGACCCUGUAUUGCAGUACCUUUGCAAAAUGUCAUUGUAGA